CCAGAAUACAACAUAAGGCAGAGUAAGGAAUAAUUCACUCUCUGAAUGACUGUUUUCAAGCUGGGACAUGGGUCUCCUGCCUUCAGACUUGGUCUCAGAUAGAACUUAACCUUCAAUUCUUCUGGUUUUUGGACUGAGAAUAGGAUUGGGGCUUAAACCAUCAGCUUUCCUGGUUCUCGGGUCUUUGGAUCCUGAUUGGAAUGAUAUCAUUGGCUUUCCAGAGUCUUUAGCUUGCUGACUGCAUAUCUUGGAACUUCUCAGCUUUCAUAAUCAAUUACAGUUGAAUAUGAGGAGCUGGAUUGCAGUGUCAUGACCUGGGCUCAGUGUAACUUCCAUCUGCCAGGCUCAAGAGAUCCUCCCGCCUCAGCGUCUCGAGUAGCUGGGACUACAGGAACGUGCCACCAGGCCUGGCUAAUUUUUUAUUUUUUUUGUGAAGACGGGGUUUCACUAUGUGGCUCAGGCUGGUCUCAAACUCCAGGAAUCAAGGGACCCACCUGCCUAGGCCUCCCAAAGUGCUGGGAUUACAGGCAUGAGCUACCGCACCAGGGCUACUGAAAUGUACAUAUGGUAGAGGUGCAGCAUCAGUCAUGCUGAUGAAGAAAACAUCCAUGGGAUUGAUGGAGGAUGAAAACGGGCUCAAUAAAAAUUCACAGAGAAAAGCUGCCUUACGAGAUUGCAAGAGGACAACUCGGCUCUAAAAUCGAUGCAUUAACAUGUCAUUGGAAUUGACCUUGCCAAAAGAUGCCUCCCUAAAUCCACAAGAAUCUCCUUGUUUGAACACAGUUUCUAAUCCAGCUGUAAUGAAGACAGACAACAGUCAAAUUAACAACUGAUCAGGAGGAGAAGUUCAUACUCCUUGAGCUGGAUCUAUCUGCACAUGCACCUGGCCCAGGAAGCUGAAAUGGGAGAUCUGAUGAGCAGUGGAGGACUGAACCAAAGCCCUUGGCUUUUGCUCCAUACCAGUCAGAGUCUCAUCAGGAUAUCAUGUUGCAUUGAGUAGUCAUGUCUCCACAGGCUUUUCUUGGCUGCGACUCUUACUCACGUUUUCCUUGGUUUUGCCCACCUUACAGUUUACAGUAGUGGUCAGGUAUUUUGUAGUAUGUCCCUCACUUGGGCUUUGCUUGAUGCUUAUCUCCUGAGAAAACUAGGGAUAUGUAUUUUGGGGAGGAAGGCCACAGAGAUGAAGUGACAUUCUUUUCACAUCAUAUCAAUGCUACAUACUAUCAAAAGGGCUUAUCACUGUUGAUGUUAAUUUUAAUCACCUGGCUAAGAUAUUCUUUUUCAGGAUUUUGACUUUAAAGUUACCCUUUAUGCUUUUCCUUCUCAUAAAGUGCUCUUUGAAAUGAAGUCACUCUGUGCAGCAGACAUUUAAAAAGCAGGAAAUUAUGGUGACAGAGUAUCUGUAUAAAUUAUUUGCAGUUCUUUUAUUUUCAGAGUUUGGAAUUAUAGCACUCCUAUAAAUCUUAUUACUAAUGGUGCCACAAAUUGUGUACUACUGAUAUGUAUUAGUGCACAACUUAAAGCAUGUGGACAUGAGCUGUAUUUGAAAAAACAUUCAGAUGGAAGAGCUACCUGAUUUGAAGUGAAUCUUAAUUGGAACUUAAUGAUGCCUCCUAGUAAUUUACUAUUUUAGCUGAACCUACAGUAUCAGCUGUAGCCCAGAAAAUAUAAGAGCUACAAUUCGUACAAUUCAACAUCAGCUGCCAAGGCCCACCUGGACUGCACCUGCAAAACCAGCUGUGGUUUCUUUGCUCUCACAAUUCAUGUCAGUGUUUUUCAGCCAAUGCAUCACUGGUUUCGAAUUUUAUACUGUUCCUCUCUCAGUCCUCCACCCCUCUAGUUUCUAAAUGAUAGAGAAUAAUUAGGUGAGGUUUAAACUCUCAGGAUUAUUCAGGGUUUGUGGAGAGUAGGAAGGUUUCUUCCAGGUUACAGCACAAUUUAAGGAGCCUGGCAAGAAGCAUCCAAUAUUAGCAAGUAGAAAAGCAGCAUAAGUAUGAGGUUGGAACUUCCCACGAUACUUAGUACAUGGAAAAAAAUGUAGAACAUACCAAAAAAAAAGCAAAUUGUAAAAAAAUUUCACAAAUAAAAAUACUGUUAUGAAAAUUAUAAUUCACAUUUUUAAUAUUUUUUAUUGUAAAAUGUAUAAAAUUUGCCAUUUAACCUCUUAAGUGUACAAUUCAGUGGCAUUAAUUGUAUUUACAGUUUUGUGCAACAAUCACCACUAUUUUCAAAAAUUUUCAUCAAUCCAAACAGAAACUCUGGCAAUUAGUAACAACUCCCCAUUUUUUAUUCCUAAUCCAUCCCCUAGUAAACUCUAAAUCUUGUCUCUGUGAAUCUCCCUGUUCUAAAUAUUUGUAUAAGAGGAAUCAUACAACAUUGACCCUUUUGUGUCUGGCUAAUUUCACUUUGCAUAAUGUUUAAAAGCUUCAUCCAUAUAGUGACAUGUAUGAGAACUUCAUUUCUUUUUUAUGGCUCAAUUAUAUUCCACAGUAUGCACACACACCCCAUUUUGUUUAUCCAUUCAUCUGUUGAUAGACACACGUGGGUUAUUUCCUCCUUUUGGCUGUUAUGAAUAAUGCUGCUAUAAACACUAGUGUGCAUUUAUCUGAAUUCAUGUUUUACAUUCAUUGGGAUACCAAAUUAAAAUGCUGGGUCAUAUGGUAAUUCUGUUUAACAUUUUAAGGUAUCACCAAACUGUCUUCCACAGCAGCUGCAUCAUUUUAAAUGCAGACCAACAAAGUAUGAUUCUCCAAAUUUCCCAGUUACUCGUCAACUCUUGUUCUACAUUUUCUAACUAUAGUGAUACUAGUAGGUAUAACAUUAUGUCAUUGUGAUUUUGAUUUGCAAUGGCCUAAAAACUAAUGGUUUUUUAAUAACUUUCAUGUUGUACUCAUUGGCCAUUUGCAUAUCUUUAGCAAAAUGUCUAUUCAAAUCCUUUGCCUGUUUUUAAUUGGGUUGUUUUGUCUUUUUGUUGUAGAGUUGUAGUUUUUUAAUGUCUUGAUAUAAAUCUCUUACAAGAUACAUACUUCACAGUACAUUAUCUCAUUUUGUAAAUAAGUUAUUUCACUCUCUUAGUGAUGUUUUUAUUAUCUAAAGGUUUUAAUACUUUUUAAAACUUGUACUGUGAAUAUGAUAUGCCCUGUGAUUAACAAAUUUAUUUAUUACUUAAACAACUUAAUUUUUAAAAAUAAUUGCAUGAAUAUUUUUGUCCUAUUUGUUCCAUUCCUACUUCGUGAACACCAAUUAUCUGUUUGACAGAUUGUCAUUUUCCAUGCUUCAUACAAAUUCUUUUUUCUUCUGCAUUUUUUUCUUUCCAAUCUUUGUGAAUGUAUUUAAUUUUCUUGCCUUGAUAUUCUGACUAGAACCUCCAGUAUAAUUUAUUUAUU
rnacentral:lncRNA from 1 species